AUCAACGCUGGCGGCGUGCCUAACACAUGCAAGUCGAACGAGAAAGUGGAGCAAUCCAUGAGUACAGUGGCGACCGGGUGAGUAACACGUGACUAACCUAUCCUCGAGUGGGGGAUAACUCCGGGAAACCGGAGCUAAUACCGCAUAACAUCGCAAGAUCAAAGCAGCAAUGCGCUUGAGGAGGGGGGGUCGCGGCUGAUUAGCUAGUUGGUGGGGGUAAUGGCCUACCAAGGCUGAGAUCGGUAUCCGGCCUGAGAGGGCGCACGGACACACUGGAACUGAAACACGGUCCAGACUCCUACGGGAGGCAGCAGUGGGGAAUUUUGCGCAAUGGGGGAAACCCUGACGCAGCAACGCCGCGUGGAGGAUGAAGUCCCUUGGGAUGUAAACUCCUUUCGACCGGGAAGAUACUGACGGUACCGGAAGAAGAAGCACCGGCUAACUCUGUGCCAGCAGCCGCGGUAAUACAGAGGGUGCGAGCGUUGUUCGGAAUUAUUGGGCGUAAAGGGCGCGUAGGCGGUGCGGUAAGUCACCUGUGAAAUCUCCCGGCUCAACCGGGAGGGUGCGCCGAAAACUGGAGGGCUAGAGUGCGGGAAGGGAGAGUAGAAUUCCUGGUGUAGCGGUGAAAUGCGUAGAUAUCAGGAGGAAUACCGGUGGUGCAGACGGCUCUCUGGACCGCGACUGACGCUGAGACACGAAAGCGUGGGUAGCAAACAGGAUUAGAUACCCUGGUAGUCCACGCCCUAAACGAUGCAUAUUUGGUGUAGGUCAUUCAGUUGAUCUGUGCCGGAGCUAACGCGUUAAAUAUGCCGCCUGGGGAGUACAGUCGCAAGGCUGAAACUCAAAGGAAUUGACGGGGGCCCGCACAAGCGGUUGGAGCAUGUGGUUCAAUUCGACGCAACGCGAAGAACCUUACCUGGGCUCGAACGGUCAGUCAACGAUCGUGGAGACACGGUUACUCCGCAAGGGGGGUCUGAUCGAGGUGCUGCAUGGCUGUCGUCAGCUCGUGUCGUGAGAUGUUGGGUUAAGUCCCGCAACGAGCGCAACCCUUGUCCUGUGUUGCCAACCCGCAAGGGGGGACUCGCAGGAGACCGCCAGCGAUAAGCUGGAGGAAGGUGGGGAUGACGUCAAGUCCUCAUGGCCUUUAUGUCCAGGGCUACACACGUGCUACAAUGGCCGGUACAAAGCGCAGCUAAGUCGCGAGACGGAGCCAAUCGCAAAAAACCGGUCUCAGUUCGGAUUGCAGGCUGCAACUCGCCUGCAUGAAGCUGGAAUCGCUAGUAAUGGCGUAUCAGAACGAUGCCGUGAAUACGUUCCCGGGCCUUGUACACACCGCCCGUCACAUCACGAAAGUGGGUUGUACUAGAAGUCUGCAGGCUGACCCGCAAGGGAGGCAGCGGCCCAAGGUAUGACUCAUGAUUGGGGUG
rnacentral:rRNA from 1 species